ensembl:lncRNA
AUGUCAGCAGUCCUCCCUGUUGUGAUAGAUUGCAUAGGAUGCUGCUUCCGGAUCCAAAGGAACAAUCGACAGACGUCACAAAGAUCCACCUCUGGCUGCAUCAGAAAGUUAUGCUCCUGGCGCCACCAGCGAGUGCACCCCGCUAAUGGGUCGGGGACAGAAGAAACCCCGGGCUCCCAUGAAAGGCUGCCCAGCACCGCAGGAGGAAUAGAGGCUCCAAGUGGCUGCACAAUGCCGGCCGAUGACGCAACUAAUAAUAAUGGCAUGGCUUUGGAGCGCCCCACUCCAGUGACAAACAAUCGGGGUGAAGAAGAAGAAGGUAGCACACACCCAGGCGACCUUGCAAGUAAGAGCUCACAGUUCACCCUCAUCCUUAGCCUGGUGUGCGGCACCAUUGUACAAACUCGCUGCCCAUCUGGGUGAGAAGGACUCCGUGCUCCCUCUGUGUUUCUCUCCAUGAAGUAAGUCCCUCUUGUUGUAAGGCUCUUGGGAGGGCAGACAUCCUUUUUGCUCAAGGCCCAUGCACCAAAUGAAGCCUGCAGAAAAACUGUCAUGUGAUGGAUAGUGGUUGGAUUUCAGUAUUGUCAUGUGUUCUAUUUUUGGUUUUUAAGAUCAACGUUUUGGGUUUAAGAUCCCUUCAUUAGCAUACUUUUCCUAGAAUUACCCCUCCAGGAAAGUUCUAAGUUUUCUUAAAUGAUUUUAAUUUUUUCCUUUACACUCGGUUUAAAUUUUUCUGUUAAUUUCUGCUGUGCAGGAAAGUGAUCCUGUCGCACACGCGUGCACACACGCACACAGACACACCCAUAUACAUGCUUACAUUUUCUCCCACUAUCCUCUAUCACGUUCCUUCGUGAGUGGCUGGAUAUUGUAUCCCUGUGCGAUCCAGUGGGCUCUCAUCGCAUAGCCAGUCCAGAUGCAAUUGUUUGCAUCCCUAAAGCCCAGAGUCCCAGUGCAUCCCACUUCCUCCCUGACCCCACUGGCAAGCACAAGUCUCUUCUGCAAGUCCUUGAGUUUCUGUUCCGUGGAAAGGAUCAUUUGUGCUGUGUUUUAGAGUCCAGAUAUAAGUGACAUCAUGUGGGGUUGGUGUUUCUCUUUCUGAGGGACUUUGCUUAGGAUGAGCGCCUCUAGUUCCAUCCACUCUGCUGCAAAUGGCACUAAUUCCUUCCUUUCACGGCUGAGGAGUACCGCAUUGUGUAUAUAUCCCACCUCUUGUUAACCCAUUCAUCUGUCGGUGGACGUUUAGGUGGUUUCCACGUCUUGGCUAGCGUGAGGAGUGCCGCACUGGACACUCGGCGCUGUCGUCAACGUCCAUGGGUGCCUGUAUCUUGUUCAAGGCAAGUCUUGUCCCCACAUACGCCCAAGAGUGGGAUUUCUGGGCCACAUGCUAGUUCUAUAUUUAGUUUUCCGAGGUCCCUGCAUGGUG